rnacentral:lncRNA from 1 species
CAGAAACAGAGGUGGCUUGGAGGUCAAGAUCCUCUCUACUUUUUCUGCCCUGUCAGGUGUCCAAGAAGGCUGAUCAUAUUGAUUAUGUUACCUAGGCUUCCAUGUCCCCUGGAUUCCGAUCAGGUUCUCUUAAAGGGACGCAUCAUCAGAAGAUCAGAUUGCAGAAGGAAGGAGAAGUAGGUGACACCCCUCUUCCCUGACAGCCUUGGCUUGGCAGUCACUGUGCUUCACUACCACAUGCCAUGGAGAUCACUCCCCUGCUAGGCUCCAGGAACAGGUUCAGACUCAAAGCAGACUCAAAGGGCCGUGCACUGGAGAAGAUCCAGAUCCCUAAGUCACCGGUUAGGAAGACAACCAAGAAAGCCACCUGACCUACAUUGAACUGUGAAAUGAAUGGGAAAUUGUGUGUGUGUAUGUGUGUGUGUGUGUGCAUAUAUUAAACCAUUUUUAUUGAAUUAAGC